AACAUCAAUCCCCGAGGGUUUUCUAACCAGCGGUGGACUUGGACCUGGGCGUCUGCCUCACAAGGCUCGCCUCAAAUGACUCUGUAGGAACUUCUCGACCUAUGCCUGACGUGAUAAGUUUCGUCUCGGCCGGUCUUGAGGCCUGCUCAUAACAACCCAUAUCAUUUUGC
rnacentral:misc_RNA from 1 species